rnacentral:rRNA from 1 species
GGACAACCUGCCCUCGGGAGGGGGAUAACCCCGGGAAACUGGGGCUAAACCCCCAUAGGUGAUGGAUACUGGAAUGUUCCAUCACCGAAAGUCCGCAAGGAGCCCGAGGAUGGGUCUGCGGCGGAUUAGGUAGUUGGUGGGGUAACGGCCCACCAAGCCUAAGAUCCGUACGGGCCAUGGGAGUGGGAGCCCGGAGAUGGACCCUGAGACAAGGGUCCAGGCCCUACGGGGCGCAGCAGGCGCGAAACCUCCGCAAUGCGGGAAACCGCGACGGGGUCAGCCGGAGUGCCGAUGCUUGCAUCGGCUGUCGGGGAGCCUAAAAAGCUCCCCAUAGCAAGGGCCGGGCAAGGCCGGUGGCAGCCGCCGCGGUAAUACCGGCGGCCCGAGUGGCGGCCACUAUUAUUGGGCUUAAAGCGUCCGUAGCCGGGUUGGUUAGUCUCCCGGGAAAUCUGGCCGCUUAACGGUCAGAAUUCCGGGAGAUACUGCCAGCCUAGGGACCGGGAGAGGCCGAGGGUAUUCCCGGAGUAGGGGUGAAAUCCUAUAAUCCCGGGAGGACCACCUGUGGCGAAGGCGCUCGGCUGGAACGCGUCCGACGGUGAGGGACGAAGGCCAGGGGAGCAAACCGGAUUAGAUACCCGGGUAGUCCUGGCUGUAAACGAUGCGGACUUUGUGUCGGACAAGCUAUGAGCUUGUCCGGUG